UCUCCGGCUUACAGAUGUUGAGAUGAUCUACAUCCACCUCGAUGAGCUCCCCGAUGCCAAGAUCUGAAACCAAAUCAGAGCAACCUCAAAGACACUUGGCCAUCCAGUCACUGAGGUGACUGUCAUACUCCACUGACAGUACUCUCAGGUUGGGACAGUCAGCAGCCAACCAUGACUGUCAAUGAAACAGGACACAACACGAAGAAGAAUAACACUGCCCCUAGAAUCCCAUGGAUGAACAGUACAUCUGCUUUGAUCGGCUGGCUGGAAAUUAACAUGUGGUCAAAGAUAAGUGUUGGUUUAAAAGUAAAAUAAAAUGAAACAAAUUUUAAAA